GCCCUGCAGUGCAGGAGGCAGAAAUGACGCUCCCUGCUUUCGACAGAACAGCAAACGGAGAUGAUUUUACUGUUCCAAUUUCUCUUUUUUUUCAGGACAAGGGGUGCAGGAGGCAGAGGCAAUGUGAGGACGGGGCACAGCCAGGUCCCUCUCACCCCUCCCGAGUGCCAGCAAGCCAUGCGAGCACACCCGCCUGCCCUGUGCACCCCAGAGAGCUGGCAAACGAGCUCCAAACCAGCCCACUGCUUGUAAUCGCAGCCAGCCAGUGUGUGUGUUACGCUUGAGUUGAUGGCUGGUGUUAAAUUCAAUGCCUUGAGUAUUGAUUUCCUCGCACAUCCAGGACUUUGUUAAAGGGUUAGCCGUGAACUGAGAUCAAAGGGAGGUUAACUCGUUUCUCAUAAGUGGUAAAGCAGACCUCUAGCAAAACUGGGCUCCAGGUCCCCUCCGCAGAGGAUGCUCUCUGCAUGUUGUUAGCUCUCCCGGUCGUCUCGAAAGCCAGAUAAAGCCACAAAGCUGCCUCAAAGCAGGGAGAUAAAAUGAUCCUGACAACUUCGCAUGGAGCCAAAGCUAUUAUGAGUGCACACUGGGGACCGGCAGCAGGGGUCAGCAGGGGAUCUGUCCCCACUCCACAAGGAAUCGGUCGCCUCACCUAACCCAGAUGGCAAGCCAAAUCCCUGCCACUGAGGAGCAUGAGAGGGGGGAGCACCCCCAGAACUGCAGCUGUCCCAGUCUGCAGGCACACAGCACCCUCCUGGCCAUGGCCAGGUGACAAGGACACUUCCCCUUGAGCCACUGCUGCCACCAGCACCAUCUCAGCCUCUGGGGCACUCAUUUGCUCCAUUUUACUUUGCUCCUUUUUAGUUUUUCCCUGCUCAUAUUCAUUCCCUGCACUCACAUCACUCUGUUUUGCCAAGGCAGUAAGAGUUAAGUGCACAAAUAAGAGGACCAUAAUGGGGCUUUGGCUUUCCCUCCUUAAUUUUUAAGGUAUAGGAGGCAAUCUGGAACAGUUAUCACUACCACUAAUGAACGCCCAGAGGCACCAAGAAAGAAGCAUCCAUUUCAGAUCAACAUCUGUCAGCACUAAGAGGUAAAAUCUCAAAAAUACCUGAGGUACUCAAGAGCCUGGACUGCACCUCCAGAGAGGCUUAAACACCCAAGUCACUUGUCCCCCUUAGGUCAUCUGGGCACCGGUGCUGGCCUUCAGCCUCUCUCCUCUCCCAGCAGUCAAGCAGCUUCAGCUGCAGGCAGUGCAGCUUGUUUUGCCACCCUUGCCAAAAUAAAAAGCAAGCCCCCAAAUGGCAACGUUGUUGGUGUCAUUUCCUCUGUGCUGCAACAUCUGUAGGGCAAGAACCCCAACACAUCCUACCUAGGUGGUGAAACCCUCAGUUCUGUUCCUGAGAACAGAACCACAGAAUCAGAAUAUCCUAAGUUGGAAGGGACCCAUAAGGAUCACUGAGUUCAACUCUUAUGGCCAGGGUUCUCUGUGUGGGAUAAACAGGCACUCAUCCACCCCUCCUCCCAGAUCCCUGCCACCCAGCACGCCCCUGGCAGCUGAUUUGUUUUAAAGCAAAAGGUCUAUAUCAAAGUACUUAGGGAAUAUCAGUACCCAGCAUACCAAGUGCUGAAGAAUUCACUUAAACUCUCAGCAUCUGUGUAUCUCAACUAAAUUAAGCUAUUUGCUAUAAAAGAGCACAAUGACAGUAAUGGAAUAAUAACAGCAUUAAUAAAACACAACAAUCCUCGAAUGAGAAGCGGAUGCAUCAGCUAGCUGCAACCAAGAGAAGAAGGCUAUUUUAAAAUCACACACAAAAACCAUCUGGGGGUGGAGAAAACCAACAAAAGCUCUGAAACUCAGAGGUCAGACUGAAAUUAUGUUUUUAACCUCGAAAGAAAGAUGCUUGCCAGAGCCUUCUCAGCCACAGCACUCCCACACCAGCUGGAAAUGAAUUUCCACAGCUACUGGCAAAGCAAAGGCUCACAAUAGGAACACUGACCAUUUCCGGCGGGGCAGAGCUGGACGCCCAUCUGAAGCAGGAGUGCCCCUGAAGCAUCAACAGGGUUUGUAGUCCAGCUCCUGGGACAGAUGCAAGGGGCAAUGCAGUGCCAAAUGCACGAAGCCAGCUGCCCGCACACCAUUAUGCAAACAUCCAGAUGUCUCCACGCUGCCAUUUCCUUCUCACUUGGAAAAUUCGCCCUUGCCUCACCCACACAUUCUUCCUCCUUUGUUUUAGAUAAGGGUGAGGACAAGCACAGCACCUUGUUACUUGAGCCCCAUUUUGCAGGUUGCACCAUUUCUGGGCCACGUACAAACCAAGACCCAAGCGCCCCAAACUCUCUGGAGGAUGUUGCGGCAGCCCACACCGUGUCCCAGCCAAAAGGCAAACAUCUCUGUGCCAAGGUCAUCCCUGUAACAGAGCCCAUUGCAGCUCCUGCCAAGGACAACGCAGCAUGGACAGAUAUCUGCUGUUCUCUGUGACAUCAGAAAAGGCCUUCCCCAGCAUCAUGACACCAUCAUCUGUAUGCAGGUUCCUAUCACAAGUCCUGCUCCCUGUCCCCUUGGCUGCUCUAUCAACUGCCCUGUCAACUUGGCUGACAUAUCUUCUCCAGCUGCUCCAUCACCAUGCUCCUAACCUGACCCUUUCUAAAUUCCCAUGCAGAAAAAGCCAAGGUAGAAGCCGCCUAAAAUCUGAGUAGGCUGCAAGUUUCUUUGUUUUCAUUACGAUUUCCUCUCCUGAUGCUUUUUUUAAAGGCAUUUCUGUUCUGCCCCUCAGAGGUGCUCCUGUGAUUGAAUGAAACACGACCCCAGGCUCCAAUAAGUGUAUUUCAAUUACAUCUGUCACCGUGUAACAAUGUAAUGAUAUAUCAUGUGAUAUUAAAUCCAUGGUAAUCAUAUCAGCGAUUUUUUUAAUAGUGCACUAAUCACAUUAUUACAUCUCAAUAAUUAACAACAGAAGGCCUAAAAACCUGGAUACAAAGAGGGAAGCUCGGAGGGUCCCAGCUCUUGCCUAGGAGAGGAGCAGAGCAGAGCAGGAUGGUGAGGGAGAUGCUGUCAGGGCAUGGCAUGACCACGGGCAGAGUGCUGGGCACGGGGAUCCCGUGCCACUCCAUCCCCACUGUGCUUCAGCUCGCUUCCUGUUGCAGCCCGGUCAAUCUUGGAGUUUCCACAUCACAAGCUGAUCUGAAGAGAGCCUCAUUACCUGCCUUAAAUUUCCAGCCAAGCACUUAGCUCUUAAAGAUGGGAUUUAAGAAAUAUUUGACUGAUCUUUUCUCUCCUCAUUGAGUUGGGCUUCUCUGAACCAAUUCAACCUGUGAAGUUGAAAUACUGAGUGGGAGGGGAUGGAAGUGCUGGCGGUCACACUGUGCAACAUGCAAUAUCCCUGGCUCCCCACUGGCCCUUCCCAAAAGGCCAGAUCCUGUCUGACCUCCCCAGCCACCACCUCCUUCCCACUGCAGGAAGGGCAUGGGGGGAUUAUAGCUCUUCAACAUUCAGACAGCACUUUCUGCUGUGCCUGGAAGUGCAGACUGAUAUUCUCAUGUCCUUUUCCGUGCACAUCUUUCUCCUACCCCACUUUCUACCUCUUCUGUCCCCAGGGCUGUGCAAGACAGGCAAAACUCUGUCUGGCUGAGACAGAGCAGUUGGACUUUCUCUCCUUCCCCCACUCUCUUCCUUCCAUUUUUUUUUUAAUUUUGUCUCAGAAGCCACGAUCCUUUAAAGAUGUGCACGUCUCAUUAGCUCUACCUUGACAAUCAUUACCGUUGCCGCAAAUGCAGGAGGAGAACUCAGCCCGAGCGUGGGGGAGUCCAUUACCUCGCAGUUAAAGGGACACGGACAACUCCGGGCUGCCUGUGGCCCCGUUCCCACUUCUAGGCAGACCCUGUAUGGCCAAGGCCAUGCCCCAGCCCCGCAGGCACAAGCAACACAUUGCAUGUUAACAUCAUGCAACAUCUCACUUCAGCAAAAUGCUCCUGUGCUGGACCACAAGAGCCCACCCAGCCGUAAAGCGAGCAGCUAAUACAAACGGGUAUGGCAGAAGCCACACACAGGCUGAGGACCACCAGGAGGAUCCUGGGGCAGGGCACAGUUUCUAUGUACGAACGUUUAGUGACACCACUGCAGAAGGGGCAGGAUCAGAGCUGUGAACCUUGCAUUCAUCAACCAGCUUAAAGGUGCAAUGUCCCCUUGUAGUGGAAAUGCUGUCACAGCCUGAACCAGUGAUGGAGCACCUGCUGGGAAGGCAGGGCCAACCCAGGGCAGCUCAGGUGUAAGCAAUGGACUUGAGUGAUUGGAAGGGGUGGAGCCAGGAUCCACCCCUUCCCAGCCCUCAUUUAAGGGCUGCCAGGGGGAGGCUAGGGUAGCUUGCUGGAGAUCUCUGCUUACCUGGGGUCUUUUAAAGGUAGGAGCGGUGUGGGAUGGCUGGCAGAUCUGAGAGCAUGGCACGCCCCAGCGGGCAAAGCGAGCAGUGCGGAGGAAGGCGCGAGUCAGUUUGGAGUGCUCCCCAUUUAUCAAACUCACGCAGCCCGCCAGCAGAGCGAGUCUUUCUAUCAUUACAGCUCUCAAAAUCCGAUUCAUACCACUAAUCCUGCCUUCAUUCUCCCAGAUUAAUAACAUCUCUUUCAACCUUCACAGUGUGAUAAAUAGACAAAGAGAGAACAAAAGGAGAAACAGAAGUGAGAGAAAGAGCCAGAGCAACUCCACAUAAUAAAGAGAACCAAGAAAGGGGAGAAAAAAAAAAAAAAAGGAAAAAGAAAAGGGAAAGAAAGAAGCUGGCACACUUGACUCUGCCAUUUACUUUAGCAGAUUCUCCCCAAGAGCUCCCUGCAAUCUUUAAAGGAUGUAAAACAUAGCUCAAAGAAAAGGCUCGUUAGCAACUCUGACCAGCCCAGGUUUGCUGGAGAUCUUUUUGCUUCCAGCCUGGGCUCAGGCCAGCACUGAGUUUGUUGGUUCCUUUUCUGCUCCUUCUCCAGACUCAAGCACCAGUAUGCAUCUACUACCUCCUUGCAAAGGCUUCAUGGAAAGCGCUGGGGGUGCUCAGCAAGCCCAAGGGAUUCUGGCAUUGUCACGGGACCCUCACAUCUGUGGAAUCAUUAAGGUUGGAAAAGACCAUUAAGAUUGCUUUGUACAACUGUCAACUGGUCCUCACUGUGCCCGAUGGCCGUGUCACCCAGUGCCACAUUUCCACAGUUCUUAAAUGCUCCAGGGAUGGUGACCCAUCACUUCCUGCUGUAUUCCAGGACGAGACCCAUGACCCAGGCUUAGGGUGGGGAUGAAGAGAAAGCCACAACAGCAGCCCAGCAGAUGUGGCACUUGAUGCUAUUCAUCUAUCCGGAGUGUGUCCAUUGAGCUGGAGGCAAAGAGGAUGAUAGCAAGGGACCAGCCCUACUGCACGUGGAACGCUGUUGCCUGGGUGCAAGGGUGGUGGCAGCAGGUGCCCUCCUAGCACUGCCCUGCUCUGCUUUGAUAGGAAACAGCUGAUCCCUAAGGCAAGCUCAGCUUGCAGCCCCAUAAUGCAGAAAGCCAACUUCUGGCCCCCAAGCAGCACAGCCCUCUCUCACUGGUGCCAGCUAUGCUCCCCUCACAGUACCAAGUGCAGCCUGUGCCACCACACUGAGCACAGAGGAACAACAACUGGCCAGGAUGCUGCUUUAUUGUGGCUCUGCAUUCACAGCCCCCGUGCAGAGGCUGGGCUGGGUUGUU